rnacentral:rRNA from 2 species
UUCGGCGGCGAUAGCACGCGGGAACCACCUGUUCCCAUUCCGAACACAGCAGUGAAACUGCGUUGCGCCGAUGGUACUGCAGGGUUGCCCUUGUGGGAGAGUAGGUCACCGCCGGAU